ACAAGCGGUGGAGCAUGUGGUUUAAUUCGAUGGUACGCGAGGAACCUUACCAGGGCUUGACAUACGCCGGAAGCGCAUCGAAAGGUGCGUGCCGCUUGCGGCCGGCGUACAGGUGCUGCAUGGCUGUCGUCAGCUCGUGCUGUGAAGUGUUGGGUUAAGUCCCGCAACGAGCGCAACCCCUGCUGCCUGUUGCCACCACGAGAGGUGGGGACUCAGGCGGGACCGCCGGUGACAAACCGGAGAAGGUGGGGACGACGUCAAGUCAUCAUGGCCCUUAUGUCCUGGGCUACACACGUGCUACAAUGGCCGGUACAGAGCGCAGCGAGGCCGCGAGGCGGAGCGAAUCGCUUAAAGCCGGUCCCAGUACGGAUUGGAGUCUGCAACCCGACUCCAUGAAGUUGGAAUCGCUAGUAAUCGCGCAUCAGCAUGGCGCGGUGAAUACGUUCCCGGGCCUU
rnacentral:rRNA from 1 species